GGCAAGCUGCUCGGAUCCCAGCCCACGGUGUGGAAGCUUUGUUCUUUCGCUCUUUGCAAUAAAUCCUGCUGCUGCUCACUCUUUGGGUCAACACUACCUUUCUGAGCUGUGACGCUCACUGCGAAGGUCUGCAGCUUCACCCCUGAAGCCAGCAAGACCACGAACCCACCGGGAGGAACUAACAACUCCAGACGCGCCGCCUUAAGAGCUGUAACACUCACCGCGAAGGUCCGCAGCUUUACUCCUGAGCCAGCGAGACCACGAACCCACCAGAAGGAAGAAACUCAGAACACAUGCGAACAUCAGAAGGAACAAACUCCAGAGGCGCCACCUUAAGAGCUAUAACACUCACCGCGAGGGUCCGCGGCUUCGUUUUUGAAGUGAGACCAAGAACCCACCAAUUCCGGACAUGCGUGGACUCACUGAGAAGCAGCAAGUUGGCGUUGACUUAGCCCGCUCAGUGUGCAGAGUGGGUUGAAGAAAAGAAUAGACCACAUCAGAGGAGUAAAGGGGUGGGGGCAAAAGCCAGAGAAGGUGGGACCUUGGAAUCACUGGAAUGACUUUGCUUCCACUGGCCAGGUGGAGAUGUGUGCCUGGGUCGGUAUAAACCUCUCUCUGUGUUUCAAGAACACACCUUUGGGAAGGUGACAGUGUGGUGGUGGGACAGCAAACUGCCAGUCUAGAAAGCUACUCCAGGCCUCAGUUUCUCAUCUGUGGAAUUAAGACAUUGGCCUGUAGAUCCAUGGGAUCCAUCAGGGAUCACCCCAGCUCUAAGCAUCUAUGAUACCGUGGGAAUGGAGAUGAAGAUAUUUCAUUUAACAUCUGGUCAAGAGUCCAAGUAAACAGGUGAGCAACUCUCUUGCAUACCUAGAGAGUGUGAGCAUGAGUAAAUCCUUUCACUCUUGGAAUGAGAAGGAAAUAGUAAACCCACUUUCUAGGCUAAUCAUGUGAUAUUUUACCAAACUCUGAGUUUAGAAAGAUGUUAUAUAAUCUGGCUUUUAUUGCAUGUAUUUAGAUCGAUUUUAUCAAGCCAUGUUCCCUGAUACAUAUUAGGAUUGCACCUCAAAGUCUUGGGUAGCCUUAGGUCAUAUUUCAGCUGUGGUUCUUUUGUUUAGAGCAAGAAGUAUGUGGAAGUAUUUUGUUUUGUUUUUAUCAAUCUUGGUAGCUCACGUGAUGUCCUUCAAGAGCCAGCCAUACUCUGGGGCUUAUCGUCUUGGCAGAAAAAGCAACUGUCCAGAGGUCAAACAAGGGCCUGUUUCCUCCCCUGCGAGCCAGCUGAGACCUUCCAUUCCCAGACUGAGUUUCAGUCCUUUAGUUUAGCCUUAAGGCUUUGUUCCCUAAUAAAAUGCAACACACUGGAAAGACUGC
rnacentral:lncRNA from 1 species